GGAGAGAAAAUUCCAGAAACAGGAGCCGCUGGAAUGUGGGACUGAAGUGAUUUGAGCAGAAAUGAUAGGAAUGCGUUAAAUGCAAAUACACACACAUGCACAAGUGUGGCUUAAUUUGCUGGGUUUUGCACACUCUGAUCACUUUGAUUUGGGCCUUAAAUUCAGUCUCUCGAUAUUAUUAUUUUUAACUUCUAUUUAUAUAUUUUUUUCUCUUCGUCUAAAUGAGGCAACAAAACAAGUCAGCGCUGUUGUCAGGUACAUUAGCUAUUCAGUUAUUCUGUUUUUUCUCCCAUCGCAGAAUGCUUGAGUGUCUACAUUUGAAUAUCGACCAGGGCUGUCACACAGCUUUCAGCUCCGGCCAACAAAAACAGCACCUGCCUUUGAAUGUCCAUCAGUGGCCCAUUAACUCAUGUCUGGGGGAAGCAGACUCUUUAAACUGACCAGCGCGUAGCCGGCUGAAAGCCUCCCUUCUACCAGCCCCGUUGACGUAUGGAGAUAAAUGGACUCCGGCCUGCAUUGUCCUGCUGACGCGCUCGCAUUCAGUUUCAGUGGUCUUCGUGACAGGCCCAAUGGUGGGGAGAUGCAAAUGAGACAGAGCAUUCAGAGGAGGGGGGGACCUCCGCUUAUUUCCAUUUUGAUUAUUCAUCGCCUUUGCUCUGCCAUACUUUGUAGCUGCUGUUUGCAAGUUUAUGUUUGCCGUUCACAAAAAUAUUCCCUUAUGUCCUGAAGGUGUUUUUAAGCAAAAAUUUGAGUGAAGCAAA